GAGUUUACAACUCUAAUCAAAGCUUCGCAGAUCAGAGAUCCUACGUCCAUAUUUUGGAAAGAAUAUGACCGUUAGGCGUUAAAAGGCAUGUGUGUGUUAUAUACAAUCUCUCAAUUCUCUGCCAUUUGAAUUUCAUCUGAGAGGGUAAAAUAUUUGAAUUUCAAUUCUCUCUGUCUGAAGGCUGAAGGAUUCUCUUAAUUCUUACAAUUUGAAUUUCAAUUGAGAGAAAAUAGAGACCAAUCGUUCAACAAAUCAGAGGUUGGAUUUUAAUUUCAAUUUGAAUUUCAUAGCAGCGGCUACUUACUGAGACUGAAGAACGAAGGAGCUUCGAUGUGUUCUGUAAUUGAUUCGAGACCAAUAGUUCAACAAAUCAGAGGUUCGGUUUAAUUGCGUGAUCUUUGAUUUCUUUUGAUUAUUCUACCCUUACAUCUCCUCCAUUCAUAUUGUGUUCUGUAAUUGGUGUAUAUUGAUUCUUAAUUUUGAUUUCAAGUGAAAGUAAUUCAUUUGAAUAUUUUUUUCUAUGUGGAGUUUGUUCGAUUUCUCUUGCAUUAUAGGGUUCUUCGAAUUCAAUUACAUGUUUUCUUGUAUUGGAUCUUGGAUCUGUUUUGAUUAUAAAACAAUUACAUCUUCUCCAUUUGUGCUCUGUAAUCCCUAGUUUUUGGUGUUUAUUGAUUCUUAAUUUUGAUUUCAAGAGAAGUAAUUCAUUUGAAUAUUCGUUCGGUUUCUCUUGCGUGCUAGGGUUCUUUAAAUUCUUUUACCUCUAUUUUAUUUAUUGUUUAUAGUGAUUAUUAGGUCUUUUAUUCCUUUUGAUUAUUCUAUACUUAUAUCUUUUUUAUCCAUGUGUGUUCUGCGAACCUUAUUUUUUGGUGUAUAUCGAUGCUUAAAUUUUGAUAUCAAGAGACUGUAAUUCAAUUCAAUGUUUUCUUCCAUGUGGAGUUAGUUUUAUUAUUGUCUGGUUGUAUAUUCUUUUACAUAUUUUUUAUUUAAUUUUUGUAAUGAUGUCAUAUUGGGUCUUUGAUUUCUUUUAAUUAUUCUACAAUUACAUUUUUUGUGUCCAUUUAGUGUUCUGUAAACCCUUGUUUUUGGUGUAUGCUGCUGCUUAAAAUUUUGAUAUCAAGAGAAAGUAAUCCUCUUGAAUAUUUUCUUCUCUGUGGAGUUUGUUUUUUGAAUAUCUGGUUGUAUCUUGGUCUAGAUUUACUGGUUUGUUACACCCUUAUUUUAUUCAAUCCAGGUUGUGUUCUUUGGGUUUUUCCUUUUGUGUGGAGUCUGCUUUGAUACUUAUAUACUGAAAAUUUUCAUAUCUCAGUUUUUAUUUGUGGUUCCUUCUUUGGGUUGUUUCUAUUCUAUCUAUAAAUGGUGUGUUACUUAAAUUCUUGUUUUGCUGAAUUGAAAGCUUUUGAUAUCCAAAAUAAAGCAAGUUAUUUGAAAUUUUUUCCUUAUCACAAGGUUUAUUCUCUCUGUCUAUAUAUACACUCCAUAUAUACGUGUUUGUGUCUCUGUCUGUGUGUUUGAUUUUUUUCCCCUGCUUAAUAGGAAAAAAAUGAUUCCUGUAGUCAAUUUCUUAAUUGAUGUGGUGUAAUGGUGAUGGAAUGUUCAUUUUUAUUCCUGGUUAUGAUGGCAUCUCUGAAUCAGGACACAUCAGGUGGUUCUAACUAAAAAGUUGCCUUAUUGUGAUAAAGUCUAAAGAGCGGGUUCGUUAUAAGGGAUAUUUUAUUCAAUCCAUGUUGUGUUCUUUGAGUUUUUCCUUUUUUGUGGAGCUUGUUUUAAGUUUUAAUACUUGUCUACCGUAAAUUUUCAUAUCUUGGUUUUAAUUUGUGGGUUCCUUGUAUGGGUUGUUUCUAUUCUUUACUUGAGGUGUUCUUUAAAUUCUUGGUUUUGCUGUAUUCAUACUUAAUUUUUGAUAUCCAAAAUAAAGUGAGUUAUUUGAAUUUUUUUUCCGAUCACAAGGUUGAUUCUCUGUGUGUCUGUGUGUGUUUCUGAAGUAAAAUAUUGAAUUCCUGUGAUUAAUUUUCUCUAGUGAUGGAAUGUUCAUUUUUAUUCCUGUUUACAUUGGCAUAUUUGAAGCAUGAUAUAUCAGGUGGUUUAAAUCUAACUAGUACGUAAGCUUAUAUCAUUACUAUAACAAAAACAAAGAAAACCAAAGUUGAAGUCACUACGUUGAGUCGUUAUGGAAUUGUUUGUCUUGAAUAAAGGUAUUAAAGUUUGCUAGUUGCAACUCUCUCAACCAUGGCCAGUAAAAAGGCUGCACAAGCCUUCUUUGUUUAUGUCAUGAAGUUGUUUUUUUUUUCACCUUAUUGUGAUCAUGUAGAAAGAGAGGGCAUUAAAAACUAUAUAUUUUCUUUCCUUGGCCCAAUUGGAUUUUUAACAAAGCAAAAUUGCAGAACAUUAAUAUAUUUUCACACCAUUUUUUUUCAGGGUGUGCAUAUUGAAGAUGCGGGAUGUAUAUUGAUUUUAGCAAGAAAUUACAGAACUACAAACUUGUUGAGAUCAAGAAAAUUUAUUCCAGGUGAUUUAUAUUAGGUGCUUCUCUCUGCUUUCUCCUUCCCUUUUGUACUUUUCAACAGUUAUUUAACAUUUGUGAAAAAUAGUUCAGUGCACUCUAAGUUGACAAGCUUUUGCAAAUUCUAUAACUAUUAUCUUUCGGUACAUAUAUGUGAUAAUAAUAAUUUCCUGUGAAACAACUAAUGGUUCAACUAGUAAUUACCCUCGGUACAUACUUAGGCAAUCAAAGGUUUAGCAUAGUAUGAAGUUGCGUGUCCGAACUCCUAAUACUAGAGCUUAUAUGUGAGGUCUUAAUAUUGAUUAUUGAAUAUAAUAAUUCUCUUCUUUUAUUGACUUUUUAAUAUUAUUUCAUGCAUUUUGAUGGAUCACUAUUUCUCUAGUAGAUCUUGACAAGUCUACAAUUUGAUAUUAAAAAGUUGAUAGACAAGUAUUGUUUUUAACUGCCCGAUGCAGACGACAGUAUUGUACUAUUUGGAGAAAAACUAAAAUGAAUGUGAACUAGUAUGCUGAUCAAUGAUAAGAUUGUGGGUUGCUGAACUUAAUAUGUUGUUCAAGUGUUCGAUAUUUCUCUGCUUGAUUUGUUGAUUGAUAUAGAUUUCAUAUACCCUAUGUGUGACCCAUUGCCGUCUGACUUACCAUCUCUCUCCCUUUGCCUCCACAAUGCACGUGUCUGUGUGCACGCACAUGUUUUUAUUUAUCAAUUAUGUGUGUUUCAAAUGAUAUUCAGUAUUGUUCGGGAGUUUUGGCAAAUAUCCGUCCCUUGGUACCAAGUUCUUGAAGCCAAAUAAUCAUUUCGUGAUCAUUGAUUUUGUGUGGAGUUGAUGAAUAAACCAUUCGUUUCUCAAUAAUGCUUUGGUGCCGCAAUAUUGGAUAUAAAAUGAUGUGUAUGAUGGUAAUUGAUUAUAACCAUGGGACCUAAUUAUAAUUAGACACAUCAUUUUUGUAUCCAAUUUUUUGUAGCUAUCUUUUGUCAUCACCAUAGAACUAGAAACAACUAGCAGCUAGGAUGUAGAAGUAACAUGUGUAUAUCAUCUUCAUAGAUUACGCAGAAAUAGCUCUCUGAGUAUAUAGUAUAAACAUGUUUACUAUUUAUUUUGUAUAGUAAGCCAUUUCAUUUUGUGAGUUAAUUGACUUGUCAGCGCGUGUAUGGCCUUUAAGAGGAGUUUUAUUUAAGCUUAUGCUUUGAAUUUAUUAAUUCAUUUUAUCAUAAUUGGCAAACAGAUAUUUGGUUGGAAAUUUGAAAGUUUGGAGGUUAAUUUGACGAAUUAAGCAAAUUAACUGUCUCCCUCUCUCUGUGACUCUCUCUCUCUCUCCCCUCCCUUUUUUUCUCACACAAAGAGACACGUUGUAUGACUUUUAGUCAAUCCAUCGACAAACUUUAUUAACUUUGUUCGUCGCUCAUAAACUUUAUAUGUAUUCUUUAAAAAGGUUGUCAGUUUAUUAGUAUGGUAUAAAAGAAUGAAAUUGAAAUAAUCAACUUUUUUUGUGAGAUAAAAAGAAUUAAGGGUAAAUUUCACAUGACCACCUAAGGUUCACCAAUUUCUCACAUGACCAACUGUAGUCUAGAAAGCUACACUUACACUUGAGGUUUUGAGAUGAAGUUAAAAAGUGCUUUCUGUGUUAACUUCGUGAUGUUAAAUGGCUAAAGACAGAUUUGUCCUUCGUAUAUAAAGUAUAGAAUUCAGGCUUUGAGGCUAAUUUUUGUCGUUUGAGCUUAGGGUUUGCAGAGAGCGAAAUAGAGCGAGAAAUAUGCAGUGAUUUAGGGUUUUUCUUGAAAUCUUCUUCGAUUUUGAGUGGAAUGGAUGGCGAUUUAAGGGGCUUUUAUAGUUAUUGACUCGAUUAAUUGUGAUUUGGUGCUAAAAAUUGGUUCUUGGAGCUGAGGAGUCAUUCAUAGUAGGAGGUUUAAGCAGCUGCAGAUUGAGGUAAUCUUUUGUCUAGUUGUUAGCCACUUUUUGUUGUUUUUUUCUUUACUUUAUGUACUAUAAUAUGAUGAUAUGAUUGUGAUUGGAGUUUUGGUGGAGUUUAUUUAUGCAUGCAGUGUUUUGAACCACUUUUUGUAGUAGAAUAUUUACUUUAUUUUUGGUAUUUGUGUAUCAUAGCUUUAUUAUAUGCUAUAACAUGGUUCUGUUUGGAUUUUUGUAAAGUGUCUAUAUGUAUGUAGUGUUUUUUUCCCCACUUUUGUAGUAGUAUAAUUGUCUAAUUUAUUUGGGGAUUUUGUAAUAUGAUGGCUUUAUUAUGUACUAUAAUAUGGUGGUUGUGUUUGGUCCCUACAAGUUAUAAGAGUAAUUUAAUGUCCCAUUUCUUUAAGCAUCUGUCCCCACUUGUUUGGUCUACUCUGUAAUAAUAUAUGUUCUUUUGGCAUGGUCAAUUUUUUAUGUACCACUUGUUUCGGCAUAUGCCCCCACAUGCAUAAUAUGUUGUUACUAUAUCAAUGUGUCGCUGUCCCCCACUUGUUUUGGUCCCCUAUAGUUUGAUUUUGUUUAUCAAGAAAUAUGUCUUAUUCAAACCUUUCUCCCUCAUCUUUUUAAUGCAAAAUGUUUGUGAGAAUAAUAUUUAAUUAUGGUGGGACUUUUGUUCAAGAACCAGUAAUUGAAUAUGUAGGGUGUAGUGUUGAAGAGCAAACCAGUUUCAAAGAAGUUAGCAUCCAAGGGCAGAUUGGUUUCACCAAAGAAGGCAGGGAGGGGAGGGGGGGGUGUAAGGCUUUGACUUUGCCUUGGGUUAUUUCAGUUUAUGUUUUUUGAUACUUUGGUAUUAUUUAGAUGUUCACUAGUGCUUGUCUACUUUUGGCACAGUUUCUUGUUUUUGGUAUAGUUGGUAUGUUUGGCCAGUUUAGUAUUUUGGUACAGUUUGAUAUGGCCAAACAUUUGAUAUAUUCAGUCUUGGGAUUAUUAUUGGUACAGUUUGGUAUAGUUGGUAUUGUUGGCAGUAGGUGUAUUUUUUGGCCAGUUGUUAAAUUUUGUUAAUUGAAUGAAGUCUUUGUUACGUAGAAGUCUUGGCCAGUUGGUAUUUUUGGUGAAGUUUUUGGCCAAACAUUUGAUAUGUAAAUUCUUGGUUUAAUUGAAUGAAGUUAAUGAAUGAAUUGAUGUUGUUCAUUUGAGAUGCCAGUUAAUGGUAUCUUCUUUUGUCUCUCUAAUUGGAUGUUAUUUAUUUGCCUUAGUCAAUUCCUUUUCAUUUUCAGUUGUGCAAAAGUUGAAACUUGAAGACUAUAUAAUAUAACAUUAGGAUUCCAUUUAAUUGAAUUGAGAACAUUACAGAUUCCAUUACUAAAAAACAUCUUGAAUGACAUGAGAUAUAACACAAGUCCAACAAUCAUUAUUAUCUUCACAUAGCUUUCAACAAUCAUCAUCCUAGCAGGUAGAUUAUUAUGCUCAGGACACUUGCAUGUUGUUCCCCUCACCACUGUCCCCAUUCCCUCAAUGUGUUCAUUAAUGCCAGUCAUUGUCCCACUUGAGGUUGUUGUAAAAGGCAAGCACCAUGUCCAAAAGUCACAGUCAUCACAUAUAAAAUACAACUUUGCCCUACGAUGGUUUGUUCGAGUCGACAAUUCUUAUCAGAUGCCUUCUUUUGACAUCUACAUACCCUAGGUAUGUAGCGAAAGACAUGACUCCUAAUUCACAUAAACAAGAGAAAGAAGGGAUGAGGCAUUUUAGCAAACACCUUGAGGGCAACUUUUAAAUUGAAUAACAACAAUACAUUUAUGAAAAUAAAGUAAAGCUUUAGAAGAAAUUAGUUGAUCUUCAUACCUUACUUGUGAAUAUAAUGAAUUAACAUCCUUGAUCAAAGCUAGAGAGAAGUUACAAAUGUUCUAAAUGGUAGAAAAGAGCUCCCAAGGGUGAACAAAUGUAAGGAAGUGGGACUUUUAUAGCCAAUGUAUAUGAUGAGGGCAUAUUGGACAAUUUCUCACCUCAUUUGACUGUUAGAAAUAUGCAUCACACUCUUUAGGCGAGUUACCAGCACGCACAGUUAGUUUAGAAAAAAAAUAUAACUUUUUCACUUCACCUCAAAAUCUCAGGUGUUUAAGUGUAGCUUUCUGGACUAUAGGUGGUAUUAUUCACUUGGUGAGUGAAUUCAAGUGAAAAGUUUAUUGCAGGGAGCCAAACAUCCUAUUUUUAAGUAUACUUUUAAUUUUAACUCCUCUUCUUUUAUUUUUGUCUUUUCCUUUAUUUUUUUGCAACUUUCUCUAGCAAGUAAAGUAUCUAUUAUGUCGUUUCAGCUUUUACUUUUUAUAUUUAAGCAUCAUUUUGUUUAAAAAUAAAAAUUAUUAUUAUCUAAUAUUCUAUUUUGCCGGUUAGUGCCAUUAUCUAUCAAGUUUCAAAUUUCCUAGAAACUAUUAGUUCAUUAAACUAGUGAUCAGCGUACUUGAUCCCAAUUGUUGAAUUAGUUAUUGAGCCUUUGAUAAGUUGAAAUGUCCCAAUUGUUGAAUUAGUUAUUGAGCCUUUGAUAAGUUGAAAUGUUUAUAAAAUUAGUGUUAGUUACAUUCCAGAUCAUUAGGCUUGUAGUCAUAUUACCUUGUUAUAACAUUGCAACCUUUUGGUUUUCCAUAGUUUCACUUGCAUUAAUUUUUCCUUAUAGGUAGACUCAAUGCUGUCCCAUGUCAUUAUUCUGUUAGUUUUCACAGACCCAGGUCUAUACAUUUUCACAGAAAAUCUGAUGUAAUAAAGGUUUAUGUCACGAGUUGUUUGAGACAUUGGCACUGGAAAGUUCUACUUUCUAGUUCUAGUCCUGUUUACUGCUAAUUUGAAGAAUGUAGAUAUUUUCUGGAUUUCAAACUUCAUAUAAGUAGUUUUGAACUUGUGAUUUUUUGAUGCAUUUGGAUCCCUUGAGGAUAUCAUGAAAGUGGAAGCAACUUUGAAAGAGGGUGGGGGGCAUAGUGCUGAAAUGUACUGAAAUUUUUAAUCCAAUUCUGAUCCUAGUAGUCUUACUUCUGCAUGGUACGUGUUAUAUGGGUAGCCAUUGUUUCUUUGUCUUAAAGUUGCAAUCUUUAUUUUUUCCUCGUAGAUACUACAUUGACCUAAUCUACUGGUAGAUAUGUAAGCUUCGUUCUACACAUUAGAUAUAAAUUUCAGCAUUAAACUUUUUUGAUAAGUAAUAAAUUUCAUCAUUAUUUUCAUCAUCAUCAUCUUUCGUUGUUCUUUGAGCUUUUAUAAUGAACACUUAAUAUAAAUUUCAUGAUUAAUUUUUUUUGCUAAGUUAUAAAUUUCAUCAUUAUUAUCAUUGUCCCUAUCAUCAUCUUUGUUUCUUCUUGUUGUGCUUUUUUCCCCUUGCAAAUUUUAGUCCAUGGAUUUGAACUGUUGGCACUGGAAAGUUCUACUUUCUAGUCCUGUUUGAGGGCUAGUUUGAAGAAUAUCUAGAUUUUGCUUUAUUAAUAUCUGGUUGUAUCUUGGUUUUCAUUUGCUGGUUUGUUAUAAGGGUUAUUUUAUUCAAUGUGUUGUGUUCUUUAUGUUUUUCCUUUUCUGUGUAGUCUGUUUUUAAUACUUAUCUACAGAAUUUUCAUAUCUUGGUUUUAUGUGUGGUUCCUUGUAUGGGUUGUUUCUAUUUAUAUACAUGAUGUGUUCUUUAAAAUCUUGUUUUUGCUGUAUUGACACUUAUUUUCUGAUAUCCAAAUAGCUUAGGUUAUUUGAAUUUUUUUCAUUACCUGUGUAUUUAUUUUUCCAAAAUAUAAUAUUGAUUUCCUGUAGUUAAUUUUCUAAUUGGUCGGUAAUUUAAUAUUUGUUUUUGUUCCUAUUUAUGUUAACAUUUUUUGAAGCAGGGCAUAACAGUGGUUUAGACAACUUAAAAGUUCAAAUAAAUUAAUUGAAGUCAAUUUGUAUUAUUACUAUCAGAACAACAAAAAAAUUAAAAGUUGAAGGCACUAUGUUGAGUGGGAGUCUAGGGAACUUUAGAAAGUAGAAUUGUUUGUUUCAGUGAUGCUUGAAUAAAAAUAUUAAAGUUUGGCCAGUAAAAAGAUUACACUGACGGGGGCUUUCUCCUUCGUUUAUGUCAUGAAUAUGUCUUUUUCCCCCUUGUUAUGGCAAUGUAGAAAGAGAGGGUAUUAAAAAGUAUAUAUUUGCUUUCUUUGGCCCAAUUUAUUGGAAUUCCAAGAAAGCAGAACUGCAGAACACUAAGAUAUUUUGAUGCACCAUUUUUUUCAGUCAUUCAACAAUCUCUACUCAUUUAGGGGUGUGCAUAUUGAAGAGGUUAUAUAUUGAUUUUAGCAAGAAAUAUCAGAACAACAAACUUGUUGAGGCCAAUUUUUUUUAUUACAUGUGAGCUCUUAAGCGCUUCAUUCUACUCUUUUCUUUCUUCUUGUACUUCACCAAGAGUUGCUUUACAUUUUUAAAACAAUAUCAGUGUACUCUAAGUUGAGCUUGCAUUUCCCAGGUUCUAAUACUAGAGCUUACAUGUGAGGUACUAUUAGAAUAAUAGUUCUGUUCUUUUAUUGAUUUUUUAAUAUUGUUUAUGCAUAGUAUUCAUUUUUAAUUUUGUUGAAUUAUUAUUUUUCCUAGUAAACCUUAUAGACUAAAGUCUACUUGUAAAAAGUCGAUCAAAAAGCUAUGUUACACGGACUUGGAUGGAGUGUUCGGUUGGAUACAAUAUUUUUUGAGAAUUCGACAUUGGUAUUCCUCAUUUUUUAUAACUUUUAACACUAAAAUAUAAAGUGUCCAGUACCCAUAUAUCCUUGUCCGUGUGUCGAAUAUUGGGCACAGGUACUUUAGGGCAAUAUUUUAGGGCAAAGUAGAGACUCCAUGUAACAUAGUCGAAAAGUAUUGUCUUGUCUAGAAGUAUUGACUUUACUGUCCUAUGCAAACCAUAGUAGUAUUUGGAGAAAUAUUAAAAAUGGAUGUGAGCAAUAUAUGAUGAUCAAUGAUGAGAUUUUUUAGGUUAUUGAAGUUACUAUGAUUUUUAAAUAUUCAAUAUUUCUUUGUAGAUGCUUUAUUUGUUAGAUUGCAACUCUCUAACCAUGGCCAGUAAAAAGAUUGCACUGCUUUCUCCUUCGUUUAUGUCAUGAAUAUUUUUAUUAUAUGGUAAUGUAGAAAGAGGGAGUAUUAAAAAUAUAUCCCUUCUUUCCUCGACCCAAUUUAUUGGAAUUCUAAAAAAGUAGAACUGCAGAACACUAAGAUAUUUUGAUGCACCGUUUUUUUCAGUCAUUCAAACAAUCUCUGCUCAUUUAGGGUGUGCACAUUUAAGAUGCUAUAUUUUGAUUUUAGCAAGAAAUAUCAAAACAACAAACUUGUUAAGGCCAGUUCUUAUGCGCUUCUUUCUGCUCUGUCUUCUUUCACCAACAGUUGCUUAACAUUUUUAAAACAAUAUCAGUGUACUCUUACUUGAGAAUCUUUUACAAAUUCUACAACUAUUUGCUUUUUGUACACUAUGUAACAUAACUGUAAUUUCUUGUGAAAUAUUAGCUUUUUCUACAUAUGUGAGAUAAUUAUAAUUUUAUGUGAAACAAAUAAUGGUUCAAUUCUUAAUUUUUCUUGGUGCAUACUUAAGCAUUCUAAGAUUCUAGCCUAGAAUGACAUGAACCAGGCCCUAGUAUAUGUGAGGUCUUAGUGUUAAACAUAAUAGUUUUGGCCUUUUAUAGAUUUUUUAAUAUUCUUUAUGCAUAGUAUACACUUUUAAUUUUGUUGAAUUAUUAUUUUUCCUAGUAGACCUUAUAGACUAAAGUUUAUUAGUAAAAAGUUGAUCGAAAAACUAUGUUACACGUACUUGGAUGGAGUGUAUGGUCAACACGAGUACUUCUCCAUUUUCCUAACUUUUAGCACUAAAAUAAAGUGUCCAGUACCCAUACUCUUGUCUGUGUGUCGAGUGUCGGACAUGUGUAUUUUAGGGUAAUACUUUAGGGCAAAGUAGAGAGUCUAUGUAACAAAGUCGAAAGUAUUGUCUUGUCGAAAAUUAUUGUCUUUAUUGUCCUAUGCAAACCAAAGUAGUAUUUGGAGAAAUAUUAAAAAUGAAUGUGACCAAUAUAUGAUGAUCAAUGAUGAAAUUUUGUAGGUUAUUGAAGUUUCUAUGAUUUCAGAUAUUCGAUAUUUCUCUGUAGCUACUUUAUUUGUUGAUUGAUAUAGAUUUCAUAUAAUUCGUAUAUAUCCAAUUUGUGAUACUGCCUUUUGACUUUCCAUCUAUCUCCCUCUGCCUUCCACAAUGCACGUGUGUGUGCAAGCACAUGUUUGUAUAUAUCAAUUAUGUAUAUUUUAAAAGAAAUAUCCGUCCUUUAUCACCUAGUUCUUGAAGCUGAACAAUCAUUUAGUGGUGAUUGAUUUUGUAGAGUUGAUGUGUAAACAAUUUUUGUGUAAACUAUGCUUUGUCUUUUCGUAUUUAAACAUUAUGUUGUUUAAAACAAAAAAUUAUUAUUAUCUACUUUUCCAGCUUGUGCCAUCAACUUUCAAGUUUAAAAUUUCCUAGAAUGCAUAAUGGUAAAGACUAGUGUUCAACGUUCUUGAUCCCAAUUGUUGGGUUAGUGAGGCUCUGAUAAGUUGGAAAAAAAAAAUUCAUUGGAUUAAUGUUAGUUACGUUAUGAAGCAAUAGGUUUGUAGUCCUAUUACCUUGUUAUAACAUUGCAUCCUUUUGGUUCUUUAUGGUUUCACCUGCAUUAAUUUUUUCAUUAUAGGUUGGCUCAAUGCCUGCCCGUGUCAUUUUUCUCUUAGUUUUCACAGGCCUAGGUCUAUAUAUUUUCACAGAAUAUAUGUUUUGUGUCAUUGGCACCGGAAUGUUCUACUUUCUAGAUUUAGUCUUGUCUUACCGCCAAUUUAAAGAAUGUGGAUAUUUUUCGGAUUUCAAACCUCAUAUUUUUUGGAAACUUUCGAUGUGUUGUGUAAUGGCAUUGAGAGGUUUGGAUUCUCUUGCAUUCUAGGGUUCUUUAAAUUCAAUUACAUGUUUUUAUUUAUCUUUUAUAAUGCUUUUCAUUUUGGGUUUUCGAUGUCUUUUGAUUAUCUACAAUUACAUCUUUCUAUAUCCAUGUUGUGUUCUAUAAAUUUUAGUUUUUGGUGUAUAUUGAUGCUUAAAUUUUGAUAUUACAUUUGAUAUUUUCUUCUUUGUGGAGUUGGUUUUAUUAAUAUUUGGUCAUACCUUGGUUUUGAUUUGCGAGUUCGUUAUAAGGGCUAUUUUAUGUGGAGUCUUUUUUAAUACUUUUAUCUACCGAAAAUUUUCAUAUCUUGAUUUUUAUUUGUGGGUUCUUAGUAUGGGUUGUUUCUAUUCUAUACAUGAUGUGUUCUUCAAAUUCUUGUUUCUAUUCUAUUCUGUCUGUGUUUCUGAGUUUGUUUCUUUUCCCUUUUUUUUAUCAUCGGAAAAUAUUGAUUUCCUAUAGUUAAUUUCUUAAUUGGUGUGGUGUAACGAUGAUGGAAUGUUCAUUUAUAUUCUAUGUUGGCAUAAGCAAAAUGUUAAGUGGUUUAGAUUUAACUAAAAAGUUCAAGUAAAUAAAUUGAAGUCAAUUUAUAUAAUUACUGUGAGAAAAACAAAGAAAAUAAAAUUUAAGUCAAUAUGUUGAGUGGGAGUCUAGAUAACUUAGGAAAGUAGAAUUGUUUGUUUCAGUGAUGCUUGAAUAAAAGUAUUAAAGCUUGCUAGAUUGUAAAUCUCUCACCAUGGCCCAGUAAAAAGGUUGCAUUGACAAGCUUUUUCCUUAGAAACAUGUCAUGAAUAUUUUCUGACUUUUUUUUCUCUUUAUUCUGAUGAUUUAGAAAGAGAGGGUUCAUUAUAAGGGUAUUUUAUUCAAUCUAUGUAGUGUUUUUGAGUUUUUCCCUUUUUGUGGAGUCUGUUUUAAUACUUAUCUACUGCAAAAUUUUGGUAUCUUGAUUAUUGUUUGUUGGUUCCUUGUUUGGUUGUUUAUAUUCUAUACAUUAUGUGUUCUUUAAAUCCUUGUUUUUGCUGUAUUGAUACUUACUUUUUGAUAUCCAAAAUUAAGCAAGUUAUUUUAUUUUUUGUGUUUCCGAAAUAAAAUAUUGAUUUCCUAUAGUUAAUUUUCUAAUUGGUGUGUCGUCAUGGUUAUUUAAUAUUCAAUUUUAUUCCCGUUUUAUUUUAGUGUUUUUGAAGUAGGAAAUAUUAGGUGGUUUAGAGAACUAAAAACUUUAUGUAAAUUAAUUGAAGUCAAUUUAUAUCAUAACUAUCAGAAAAAUAAAAAACAUAAAAGUUGAAGUCACUAUAGGUUGAGUUUGGUGUCUAGGGAACUUUGGAAAGUAGAAUUGUUUGUUCCAGUGAUGCUUAAGUAUUAAAAUUUGCAAGAUUGCAACUCUCUAACCAUAACCAUGGUUAGUUAAAAGGUUGCAGUGGUAGGCUUUCUCAUUCGUUUAUGUCAUGAAUAUGUAUUUUUUUUCUUCUUAUUAUGGCAAUAUAGAAAGAGGUUAGGGUAUUAAAAACUAUAUAUUUACUUCCCUGCCCAAUUCAUUAGAUUUCUGACAAAGUUGAACUGCAAAAAAUUAAUAUAUUGUUAGAGUAUAUAAUAUUAUGUCCCACAUUGAAUAUCUUGAGACAAUAUGUCUAGUAUAUAAUGAUUUGGGUCAACUCUUCUCAUUGUCAGGUUUUGAGUUGGAGAGCUUGAUGUCUUUAUACUAUAGACUUUGGAUCCAUUUAAUAAAUCUAACAUGAUAUCAGAGCGGGCUAUUCAUGGGCCUAAUUGAACACUCUUCUUAGCCUUCAUUCUUACCCAUUUGCAACCCAUUUCUUAAGGAUCAAAGUUACCAAUUUCUUAACUAGUACCACUUAUCAAUUGGGCCAAUAGUUGCCUGUGGUUUACUAUAUUUCUUCUGGUCUUGUCUUGUGACUAGCUUCUUCUGGACUUACUUAUCUUGUGUGGGUCUUCAUAUUCAUCAGGUCCACGUGCAACGCUCAAUAUAUCGGGUUACACGUGAGGGGGAGUAUUAGAGUAUAUAAUAUCUUGUCCCACAUAGAAUAUCUUGAGAAAAUAUGUCUAGUAUAUAAUGACUUGGGCCAACUUUUCUCAUUGUCAAUUGGUUUUUAUUUAGAGAGUUUGAUGUCUUUAUAUACUAGACUUUGGGACCAUUUAUAAAUCUAACAUAUAUUUUCACGCACCAUUUUUUUCAGUCAUUCAACAAUCUUUGCUCAUGUAGGGGUGUGCACAUUGAAGAUGCUGAAACUAAUUGAUUUUAGCAAGAAAUUGCAGAACAUCAAACUUGUUGAGGCCUAGAAAAUAAUUACAGGUGAUUUUUUACGCGCUUCUUUCUGCUCUGUCUUCUUUCGAUUUAUACUUAAAGAGUUAACAUUUUUAAAACAUUGUUUAGUGUACUAAGUUGAGAAACUUUGCAAAUUCUACAACUAUUGGCUUUCUGUACAUAUGUGAGAUAAUUAUAAUUUCCUGUGUAAUAUUAACUUUUUGUACAUAUGUGUGAUACUUAAAAUUUUAUACGAAACAAAUAAUAGUUCGAUUUUUAGUAUUAUUUUAUUUACACAUCAAUUUUGAUGAAUUAUUAUUUUGUUGAUGAAUUAUUAUUUUUUCUAGUAGACCUUAUAGACUAAAGUUUGAUAUUAAAAAAUUGAUCAUGAUUUCAAAUGUUCGAUAUUUCUCUGUAGCUGUUUUAUUUGUUGAUUAAUAUAGUUCAUAUAUCCAAUGUGUGACACGUUGCGUUUUGACUUUCCAUCUCUCUCCCUCUGCCUCCCACAAUGCGCGUGUGUGCAAGCACAUGUUUGUAUAUAUCAAUUUGUUAGAUUUAUAAAAUGGGCCCAAAGUUUAGUAUAGAAAGAUAUCAAGCUCUCUAACUUAAAACCAAUUGGCUCUGAGAAGAGUUGGCCCAAGUUAUUAUAUACUAGACAUAUUUUCUUUAGGUAUUCAAUGUGGGACAAAAUAUAUACUCUAACACUCCCUCACGUGUAAUCGGUGUAUUGAGAGUUGCAUGUGGACCUAAUGAAUAUGAAGACCCAUAUAAAAUAAGCAAACUCAGAAGAAGCUAGUAAACCAUAUGCAAUUGUAAUUGGCCCAUUGAUAAGUGGUACUAGUUAAGAAAUGGUUAACUUUGACCUUUAAGAAAUGGACUGCAAAUGAGUAAGAAUUAAGGCUGAGAAGAGUGUUUAAUUAGGCCUAAAGAUAUCCUGCUCUGAUACCAUGUUACAUUUAUAAAAUGGGCCCAAAGUCUAGUUUAUAAAGAUAUCAAUCUCUCUAACUCAAAACCAAUUGGCUCUGAGAAGAGUUGGCCCAAGUAUUUAUAUACUAGACAUAUUUUCUCAAGGUAUUUAAUAUGGGACAAGAAGAUAUAUACUCUUAACACAAUUAUGUGUAUUUUAAAUGAUCUUCAAUAUUGGCUUUAAAGUUUUGGCCAAUAUCCGUCCCUUAUCACAUAGUUCUUGAAGCCAAAUAAUCAUUUCGUGGUCAUUGAUUUUUUUUAAGUUGAUAUGUAAACCAUUUUUUUGUGUCCUUUUUGUUUUUUUAACUGCAGCUAUUUUUAGUAAGUAAACUAUCUGUACGUCCUUUUAGCUUUUUGCCCUUUUGUAAUUAAACAUUAUGUUGUUUAAAAUUAAAAAUUAUUGUUGCCUAAUUUUCCAGCUAGUGCCAUAAGGCCCAUAACUAUCAAGUUUCAAAUUUCCUAGAAUGCACAAUGGUUGAGACUAGUGUUCAGCGUACUUGAUCCUAAUUGGUGGGUUAGUGAGGCUCUGAUAAGUUGAAAAGUUCAUUGGAUUAGUGUUAGUUAUGUUCUGGAUCAGUAGGCUUGUGCCCUAUCUUGUUCUAACAUUGCAUCCUUAUGGUUCUUUACAGUUCCACAUGCAUUAAUGAUUUCCUUAUAGGUUGGCUCAAUACUGUCCCGAGUCAUUUUUCUAUUAGUUUUUACAGGCCUAGGUGUAUAUAUUUUCACAGAAUAUACAAUACCUUUGUUUAUGUCACAAGGUUUUGGAGUCAUCGUAUUUUUCACUUGUGAUUUUUUUUAUGUACAUUUGGAUCCUUUGAGGAAAUCACGAAAGUAGAAGGUAACUUUGAAGGGUGGGGGGUGGGGUUAUAAUGUUGAAAUGUUAUGAAAUUUCUAAUCUAGCUUUGAUCCCAGUAGUGUCUAACUUCUGCGUGAUGGUAUAUGUUAUAUGGGUAGCCGUUGUUUCCUUGUCUUGAAAUUGCAAUCUUAACUUUUUUCUUGUAGAUACUAUAGUCCUGCACAUUUGAUAUGUAAUACAUUAGUUUUUUUGAUAAGUAAUACAUUAGUUUUUUUGAUAAGUAAUAAAUUUCAUCAGUGUUAUCACAUGGUCUUUAUCAUCAUCUUUCGUUGUUCUUUGAGAUUUUGUUUUGCACAUUUAAUAUAAAUUUCAUGAUUAAUUUUUUUGUGCUAACUAGUAAGUCUCUAUCAUCAUCAUGUUUCUUUCUUUCUUCUUCUCGUGCUUUUCCCCCCUGCUACUUUUAGUCCAAUGGAUUUGAACUUCUAGUUUGAAAAUGCAGUUACAAAUUUCUUGAUUAAAUUUUUUCCUAGAAGUAAUAAAUUUCACUGUUAUUAUCAUCAUCGUUUUUUCUUCUUUUUGUUGUGCCUUUUUCCUUGCUAAUUUUAGUCCAAUGGAUUUGAACCAUUGGCAGAACUUUCCAGUUUCAGGCUCUGUUUGACUGCUGGUUUGUGAAGAAUGCAAUCAUUAUCUGGAUUUCAAACUUAAUAUACUUUGUUUUGGACUCAUGAUAUGAGUGAUUUAUUUUUGGUUCAAAGACAAUAAUGUCAUGCAUUUGAAUCUGUGCACGGUAUGUUGUGUGUGAGGAUGUAUAUAUAGGCAGAGAUACAGGGGAAGAGAGACCUAAACAGAAGUACAUACACCAGACUUUUGCUUUGUGGCUAUAUCAGCUCAAGUCAGAUAUUUUCCAUAUAUAGGCAGAGAUACAGGGGAAGAGAGACCUAAACAGAAGUACAUACACCAGACUUUUGCUUUGUGGCUAUAUCAGCUCAAGUCAGAUAUUUUCCAUAUGUUCAUUUUCUUUUUUGAUCUAACAUUUUGGAAACUUUUUUACCAACUUCUUUAAUUAAGUGUAUGUAAUUUCAGUUUAUAAGGUGUAGUUUGUAAGUCGGUAUAAAUCUCUAUUGUUGCAUAUAUGCCAUUCAUGUAUAUUAAAUUGAUGAAGCUUUUGUCUGAUAGGAGCUUUUGUACACAACUAGCUUACAGGGGUAAAGAAAAUACAAAGGUAUGUAACAGAAUUUGUUUAAAUGAUUAUUUCUUAUAAGAAAGCAUAUGCAUUCAUAUCAAGACAUUUGUUUAUCUGGUGCGUCUAAUGUUUGCCUGUAUGCUGCAGCAGGUUUGACGUGAAUUCUUUUUGGACCUGAACACGGAAGCACUACUACACUUGUCUGCUACUCUAAGGUAAUAAUAUCUUAUCAUUCUAUAAUAGUUUAACUAUAAUCUUUGCUGAACCACAGCAGUACACUAGUUACUAUGGAAUAACCUAAAGCAACAACAUGGAGAAACAGGUGAUGUAGCACAUAAGCUUGCCACUAGAACAAAAGAGGCAACAACAUAAAGCAACAUGCUCAAUAACCCAAACUCCAGUCGAUGGCAUUCCCACACUACUACCAAACAACUGGCCAUUUAAGUACCAAAUUCUAUUUAUGUAUCGGAAACAACAUUAAGCAACAUACGAGCUGCUAUUUCUACUUAUGGAUUGGUUCUCUAAUAGAACGAAAAAUCAACAGCAUUAAGCAGCAGGUGACCGGUACAAUAGCACAAAAAUGCAGCAAUUUCUAUUUAUAGAUUGAUUUAUGGGCUGACAAAACACAUGAGAAGUGUGUAAUUCUGCACACUAUUUUGAAAUAUAAUAAUCCUUUUACUUGGUUUUGCUUGAAUCACAGUGGUGGUUAUUGAUUACCAUUACUUUAUUUGCUAUUAUAUUGUAAAGGGAUUCUGGAUGAGUAUUUUCAUGUAUCAGUAUUUGUAAUACUGUAUUUAAUGAUAUAGUUUAUUUUAUACUUUAAGGAGGAGUUCUCUGUUUAUCUCUAUAUCUCUAUAUGGUUGUGCUAAAGGAAAAAUUUGUAAUGUGAAAUUACUGUUAAUGUAAGGUAAAGAUUGUUCCUAGGAGAGAGGUUCAGUAGAAUUUUUGUAAUGUAGAAUUCACUGUUAAUGUAAGUUAAAGAUUCUUUGUGUAAGAAGGAGAUUCAAUUGGUUGGAAUUGAUUCAAUGUUGAUAUUUGCAAGUAAGAAGAAGUUUUGUUAGAAAUUUGUUCUUGUGCUUUAACUGAAUGAUAUUGUAUUGAUGCAAUUUUGUUCAUUAAUUUUUGAGUAAACAGGUUUAGCAAAAACAACAGCAGCACAUGGCUCCGCCCGCUACUUUAAGGUAUUAAUAUCUUCUUACCAUUCUAUGAAUUUUUAAUUUUAAUAUUUGAUAUAACUACAAAAAUAGGAAAAAUGGACGGAGGUAGUAAGAAAGUAUUGGAAUUAUAACUCGGAGGUUGGAGUUUUGGAGAAAGAGAGGAGGGGCUGGAUAAUACUAGGUAGG
rnacentral:lncRNA from 1 species